rnacentral:rRNA from 1 species
UACGUAGGGUGCGAGCGUUGUCCGGAAUUACUGGGCGUAAAGCGUGCGCAGGCGGUUCGCCAAGUCAGGUGUGAAAUCCCCGGGCUCAACCUGGGAACUGCAUCCGAAACUGCCUUGCUCGAGCAUGGGAGAGGGAAGUGGAAUUUCCGGUGUAGCGGUGAAAUGCGUAGAUAUCGGAAGGAACAUCAGUGGCGAAGGCGACUUCCUGGACCAAUACUGACGCUCAGGUGCGAAAGCGUGGGGAGCAAACAGG